rnacentral:rRNA from 1 species
GACGAACCGUGCGAACGUUGUUCGGAAUCACUGGGCUUAAAGGGCGCGCAGGCGGGCUAUCAAGUCCGGGGUGAAAUCCUCCAGCUUAACUGGAGAACUGCCUCGGAUACUGAUGGUCUCGAGGAGGAUAGGGGCACACGGAACUGUGGGUGGAGCGGUGAAAUGCGUUGAUAUCCAUAGGAACUCCGGUGGCGAAAGCGGUGUGCUGGAUCCUUUCUGACGCUGAGGCGCGAAAGCCAGGGGAGCAAACGGG